rnacentral:rRNA from 1 species
UACGUAGGGUGCGAGCGUUAAUCGGAAUUACUGGGCGUAAAGCGUGCGCAGGCGGUUCGUUGUGUCUGAUGUGAAAGCCCCGGGCUCAACCUGGGAAUGGCAUUGGAAACUGGCGAGCUGGAGUGUGGCAGAGGGGGGUGGAAUUCCGCGUGUAGCAGUGAAAUGCGUAGAGAUGCGGAGGAACACCGAUGGCGAAGGCAGCCCCCUGGGCCAACACCGACGCUCAGGCACGAAAGCGUGGGGAGCAAACAGG